rnacentral:rRNA from 1 species
CCUACGGGAGGCAGCAGUGGGGAAUAUUGGACAAUGGGGGCAACCCUGAUCCAGCCAUGCCGCGUGUGUGAAGAAGGCCCUCGGGUUGUAAAGCACUUUCAGUGAGGAAGAACGCCUGGUGGUUAAUACCCAUCAGGAAAGACAUCACUCACAGAAGAAGCACCGGCUAACUCCGUGCCAGCAGCCGCGGUAAUACGGAGGGUGCGAGCGUUAAUCGGAAUUACUGGGCGUAAAGCGCGCGUAGGUGGCUUGAUCAGCCGGUUGUGAAAGCCCCGGGCUCAACCUGGGAACGGCAUCCGGAACUGUCAAGCUAGAGUGCAGGAGAGGAAGGUAGAAUUCCCGGUGUAGCGGUGAAAUGCGUAGAGAUCGGGAGGAAUACCAGUGGCGAAGGCGGCCUUCUGGACUGACACUGACACUGAGGUGCGAAAGCGUGGGUAGCAAACAGGAUUAGAUACCCCAGUAGUC